rnacentral:rRNA from 1 species
UCCCUAAUAUUAACAAAGAAACAAAGGUUUGUGUUCGCUCUAAGAAUUUUUUAUCUCGUGUAUUAGUAGUUAAGGUAAACUAGAACUAGCUUUAUUGUAUACACGUAGUCGAAACUGAAAGGUUGAUCGAUCACAAUGUGGCCUGAACAAAGCCCAUGACAAAAGUAGCAGCAGUGAGGAAUAUUGGUCAAUAGCCUAACGGCUGAACCAGCAACUUGGAGGAAUGAAAAGCGAAAGCUAAUUGCAUUUACUUAAAAUUAAAUUUUAAGAGAGUGUCCCUUUUUAUUUAUAAAAAAUUGGAUGGCUUUUAAGAGAGUGGUCCCUUUUUAUUUUAAAAAUUUGAAAACCUUUUAAAGAGGAAGGGUCCAUUUUUUAUGUAGUUACUACUUUGUAGUUUAAAAUUCUAGAUAGAAUUAUGAUGAUGACAUUAUCUAUCUAUUAGUCUUGACCAAAUUACGUGCCAGCAGUCGCGGUAAUACGUAAAAGACAAGUGUUAUUCAUCUUUAUUGGGUUUAAAGAGUACCAAGACGGUUAAUAAAGCCCAAAAUACAUGAACACAGGGGACACAUUAACUAGAGUUAUAUGAAAGGAAGCACUAAAGUACUGUUGAGUGUAGAGAUAAAAUUCUAUCAUACCAGAUAAAGGCACAGAUUUAUGCGAAGGCAUCUUCUUAUGUAAUAACUGACGUUGUAGGACGAAGGCUUUUUAAGUGAAGAGGAUUAGAGACCCUUGUAAUUAAGCAGAAAAUGAUGAAUGUCAUAGGUUUAAUAUAUUAUUGGGUCUAUAAAUGAAAGUGUAAGCAUUCCACUCAAGAGUAAUUUGGCAACAUUGGAACUGAAAUCAUUAGACCGUUUCUGAAACCAGUAGUGAAGUAUGUUGUUUAAUUAGAUGAUACACAAAAAACCUUACCACAAUUUGAAUAUAUAUCUUUAAAGAUAUUUACAAGCGUUGCACGGCUGUCUUCAGUUAAUGUCGUGAGAUUUUGGUUAGUUCCAUAAAAUUAACGUAAACCCUCGUUUUAUUUAGAAAUAAAAUUUAGAUCUGUUUCAA